CCUACGGGAGGCAGCAGUAGGGAAUUUUCCACAAUGGGCGAAAGCCUGAUGGAGCAAUACCGCGUGCAGGAUGAAGGCCUUCGGGUCGUAAACUGCUUUUAUGUGCGAAGAAUUUGACGGUAACACAUGAAUAAGGAUCGGCUAACUACGUGCCAGCAGCCGCGGUCAUACGUAGGAUCCAAGCGUUAUCCGGAAUUACUGGGCGUAAAGAGUUGCGUAGGUGGCAUUAUAAGUGGAGCGUGAAAGCGUGCGGCUCAACCGCAUUAUUGCGUUCCAAACUGUGAAGCUUGAGUAUGGGAGAGGUAGAUGGAAUUUCUAGUGUAGGAGUGAAAUCCGUAGAUAUUAGAAGGAACACCGAUGGCGUAGGCAGUCUACUGGCCCAUUACUGACACUAAGGCACGAAAGCGUAGGGGAGCAAACGGGAUUAGAUACCCCGGUAGUCCACGCUGUAAACUAUGGAUGCUAGCUGUGACACACAUCGACCUGUGUCGUAGCGAAGUUAGCGCGUUAAGCAUCCCGCCUGGGGAGUACGGUCGCAAGNUUAAAACGCAAAUGAAUUGACG
rnacentral:rRNA from 1 species